UCUCUAUCUCUUGUUCGCCCCUCUUCCCAUCUUCCCUCAAAUCGCCGAUGUCGAGCUCCAAUUUUCGGUUGACAAUGCCAGUCACAAGUGUUGGUAACUGGUAAUCUUCCAUUUCUCUAUCUCUUGACAAAUAAAUCGUUGAUUUAGGGCUUAAAAUAACUAGUGCUGCAAUGGUUGCUAAUGUAGGGCUUAUUUAGAUAAGUUGGAGUGGGGAUGGGAAAUCGUUUGCAAGAAACUAUGAUAGGAUAGGCAAUUCUGAUUUCAGCCGACUUGGUAGGUCCAUCAAGAGGGACAUCAAGUCGGUGAAUUUUUUCAAUUAAAAAUUUGUUUCAAUUUUUGAGCUUGUGUUCACUUAAAGCUAAGAAGUGUGCUAGUGUUGCGAGUCUAAUUUUUCACUAUUUCGUUUAGUUUCUUGUCCAUUUUUUUAAUUUAACUAAUUCUAGUACUAAAAAUUCAAUUCACUCUUAGUAGAUUUUUUGAUAGUGCUAUUGAAAUGUGCUGCCCUGCUCAAUCCCUUUUUUGCUGUAAGAAAAAUGGCCUUCUUAUAUUUCACAAGCAUGCAUUUACAGAAAUGUGAGUGAUGGGGUUAACACAAAGAGAGAGUGUGUAUGAGUUGUGACCAGCUUUCUGUGGAAAGGUUAUCCAGUUGCCACCAGUACCAUAGUUUUGAAUGUAAUUUUUGAGGGUUGCAUCUACUUCUAGAGACCAAAGCCCCUUUCUCACUUUAGUCUCAUCACAGCAAGGAAUUUUUAGCAUGGCUAGCUUCCUACAGUAGAGAGACGAAUAGAGUGUGCGCACUUGAGGGAAGAAAAUUAAUAGACAGGCAUGUACCAAGCAAUUUUCAUUCGUGAAAAAGAAAAGACUUUUCAUAACUUUAAAAUUAUUGUAUAUACUUUUAGUCCCUUUAGCUUGCUUGACCUUGCAACACCAUCUCGAAAUUGGCUUUGGUUGGUAUUAUUCUUGUAUAAUCUAUCAUCUGGGAUUUCCUAUUUGCUAUGAUUCUUCCAUAUGCAAGUACAUUAUUAUGCAACCGUAUUUAGCUCAUCGGGAUUAUUGUAUUAAUUGCUCCUUUUUGCAUUGAGAAUCACUAAAUUGAUGUUAGUUUCUGUAUGCAUUUUGGUAUUGGCAUUACAAGUGUUAUGGCGGAUCCCUGUGCUUGGCAACAUCAUAAGAGAGCUGCUGACACAAGUUUGAGUUCUAGGGAUAUUAAACAAACUGAAAUUUUGAGAAAUCUUCUUAUGAACUUUUAGAAUCCAUGUAAUUUCAUAUUGAUGCCGGAAAUUCACAGCAAACCAACUGAUGCAAAACUGAUGCUGAAAAUUCACAGCAAAUCAACUGAUGCAGAAAAAGGGAGUUGAUAGUUACCAAGUGUUAGUGAUCACCACUCUGAGGCGAUUUCUUAAAGAUACAGAGUUGGACUUGGCUCACCACUUUAAGGAAAAACAUCUGGAGAUAUAGAACACACAAAGAUGAAAUUCCUUCUUCAAAAAAAGGUCCAAAACAUUCAAAGAAAAUUCUCAGAAAAAACGUUGAGCCUUCUGAAUUUUUUUGGCAACAAAAUUAAAUGUAAUGAUCUCUAAAUCUAGAAUGUAAUAUUUUAAAACUUAGAAAGGAAAUUAAUACUAAACUUAAAAGAUAAGAAAAUUCAAAAAAAUUCCAGAAUUAAUUGUUUAAAAUUCUCCUUUAUUCUACCCAAAACUUUCCAUAAUUGUUCCUAUGCUGGAUCUUUCCAAAAUUGUUCCAGUACCCGUGUUAUUCUCCCCCUGUUGAAGAAGACUCGUCCUCAAGUCUGGAUUCGCUCAAUCUUCAUUUUCAUAAUAAAAGGAUAAGUCUGAGACAUUGAACAUAGUUGAAAUACCAUACUCUUCUGGAAGCUCAAUCUUGUAAGCAUUCUCCUCGACUCCUUGUAGUACUUUAAAUAGACAAUCAGCUUGAGGCAUCAGCUUUCCAUACUUCCCUAUUGGAAAACGCUCUUUUCGAAGGUGAAUCCACGCCAUAUCUCCUUCCUUGAAAGCAUCAGGUUUACAAUGUUUAUUAGCGGUAGCACGAUACUUCUCAUUUUGCUUGAUAAUCUUCUCCUGAAUCUGCUCAUGCAUCUUCUUGAUAUCCUUGACUUUAUCAUCAGCAUCUCCACUAAAUUGUUGCGUUGAAACAAUAGCUGCCAAAUCCAAGGGGCUAAGUGGAUUGAGUCCAUACAUAGCUUCAAAAGGACUGCAACCUGUAGUUUGACUCGUGGAACGGUUAUAGGCAAACUCCUCAUGAGCUAGCAUAAGAUCCCAGACAUCGCCUAAACUUCAAUUGACAACUCCAGUUUGUCCAUCAAUUUGCAGGUGACGAGACAUGCUAAAUAGCAAUUUUGUACCAAGCUUUCUCCAAAAAGUGCGCCAGAAGUAACUUGUAAACUUUGUAUCCCGAUCUGAGACAAUUGUUUUCAGUAGACCAUUAAGUCGCACAAUCUCUCGAAAAUACAAAUUAGCUACAUGUGAAGCAUCCGUGGUCUUGUUACAAGGAAUAAAGUGUGCCAUCUUCGAGAAGCGAUCAAUAACCACUAUGAUUGAAUCUUUGUUCCUCUGCGUUCGCGGUAACCCCAAUACAAAAUCAAUGCUAACUUCCUCCCAGGGUAAAUUUGGAAUUGGUAAUGGAGUAUACAAACUCGUGUUCUGCCCACGACAGAUCUUGCAACGCUCUAGAUGCCUUAUAAGGUCUCUCUCCAUUCUAGGCCAGUAAAAUUGUGACGUCACCAGUGAAAGGGUUUUGUCACGCACAAAAUGUCUAGCUAGCCCACCUCUAUGAGCUUCUAGAAUAAUCGCCUCUCGUAAUCAGAUUGGGAGAAUGCAUAAAUGAUUAUCCUUGAACAAAUACCCAUCCUGUAACACAAAAUCAUUAAAUGGACCUUUUAUACAUUCGGUUAAGACAUCACCAAAAUAUGGAUCAUCCUAGUACAACUCUUUGAGAACUUCAAAACUUGGAACUGUCACUUUCAUAGUACUUAGCAAGGAAUAUCUUCGACUUAGUGUGUCUGUCACUUUAUUCUCGACACCUGACUUGUGUUUAAUGUUAAAUUUAAAGGUUUGCAGAAACUUCACACAUUGAGCAUGUCGGCGAUUCAGCUUGUGUUGUCCGUUGAUAUACUUCAAUGCCUCAUGAUCAGAGAAGAGAACAAACUCUUUAGGCAAAAGAUAAUGACUCCAAUGCUCUAAUGUUAGUACAAGAGCAUAGAACUCCUUAUCACAUGUAGAGUAUCGCUUUCGAGAAUCACAUAACUUCUCGCUGAAAUAGGCAAUAGGCUUUCCUUCUUGAUUGAGGAUUGCACCAAUUUCCACAUUUGACGCAUCACAUUCUACUUCAAAGACAACUUCAAAAUUUGGCAACCUCAAAAUAGGAGCUUCCGUCACCUUUCUCUUUAAAAACUCAAAAUUCUUCUGUGCUUCCUUGGUCUACUUAAAUGCUCAUCCCUUCAAACAAUCGAUUUACAAUAAAUAUAAUAGUGUUGACAUUUUUUAUAAAACGACGGUAAAAAGAAGCUAACCCAUGAAAGCUUCGAAUAUCCUGAAUGGAUUUUGGAACUGGCCAACUUGUGAUUGCCUCCACUUUACAUGAAUCCAUCUUGAUUCCAUCACUUGAGACCACAAAGCCUAAGAAGAUUAAGCUCGUAAUGCAAAAGUGACAUUUUUUUUAAAAUUGAUAUAAUGUUUCUUCUCUCGAAGUUUCUCAAAAACUUGACGAAGGUGUAGCAAGUGCUGCUCAAUAUUCUUGUUGUACACUAGAAUAUCGUCAAAAUAAACCACAACAAAUAAACCAAUAAAAGCUUUAAACAUAUGAUUCAUAAAGUGCAUAAAGGUACUUGGGGCAUUUGACAAUCCAGAAGGCAUAACGGUUCAUUUAUACAAUCCAUCCCUAGUCUUGAAAGCGGUCUUCCAUUCAUGUCCAGGUCUCAUUUUGAUCUGAUGAUAGCCACUCCUGAGAUCAACCUUUGAAAAUAUAGAAGCACCAUGUAAUUGAUCAAGUAAGUCAUCAAUUCGUGGAGUGGAAAACCGAUACUUGAUCAUAAUCUUGUUCACCGCCCUACUAUCAAUGCACAUACGUCAGGAACCAUCCUUUUUAGGCACAAGAAGUGCUGGAACUGCACAUGGGCUCAUACUUUCCUUCACAAAUCCCUUUGCGAUUAAGUCAUCUACUUACCUUUGUAACUCUUCUUGCUCUUUAGGAUUCAAUAUAUCAGCAGGCUUAUUUGGAAGGCUAGCACCGGGUAUGAAAUCUAUGCAAUGUUGUAUGUCCCUCAUCGAUGGUAAUCUAGGUGGUAUUUCAUCAGGUAUUACAUAAGAAAAAUCAUGGAGUAAAUUAUCCAUAAUCGGAGGCAAUUCAAUAUUUAUUUUAUUCUCCUUUAACACAACAAGGGCAUAAGUCUCACAAGAUUCCCCUAUACUCCUUCGUACCUCAACUUCUGUAAAAAAAUUAUUUCCCUCCACUCUCGACAUUUGGGAUUUCUUUAUUUUAGUUGGACCUAACACAAUUUUCACCCCAUCUUUCAUAAACGAAUAUGUGUUUUUAAAUCCAUCAUGCAUUACUUUUCUAUCAUAUUGUCAUGGAUGAUCGAGCAAUAAGUGACAAGCAUCCAUAGGUAUAACAUCACAAUAUAACUUGUCGGAGUAUUUAGUGCCAACAGAAAAUUGAACAAGACAACGCUUGUGAACUUUUACCUCAUUUCCUUUGCGAAGCCAAGAGAGCUUGUAUGGUUGGGGAUGAUCUUCCAUUUUGAGCUUCAAUUUCUCUACCAUUGAUUUUGCAAUGACAUUCUCACAGCUCUCCCCCAUCAACUAUCACAUCACAAACCUUGCCAUGAGAUAUACAUCUCGUGUGGAAAAUAUUAUUGCAAAGCCAGUUAUCAUCUUCUACAUGUGCUACACUCAAACUUCUAUAGAUCACCAACGAUUCUCCAUGGUCGCCAUAGGUCACUUCUUCCUCUACUCCCUUCUCAUAUGUGGGGUCACCCAAAUCCUCCUUACUCAUCCUCUUCUACGAAGGCAACAAUUUUACGAUUAGGGCAAUCUGAUGCAAUAUGGCCUAUCCCUUGACAUUUGAAGCAUCGACGACAAGCAAAAGAGUUGGAACGGUCAGGGUUAACAGUGUCUAGCUUUAGACCGACCUUUGAUGAUGCCAUUUUGUUGGAAUCACUUUUGGACGGACCCAUAUCCCCACGAUUAAAAUUAGGGCAGUGAUUCAUGGAACAAAAUGCUCCCCUACGAUGCUCCUGUAACUGCUUCUCAACCUUAGCUAUCAAUUUACACACAUCAUUGAAUGUCAAGUAGGGCUGUAGCUGCACCACGUCAUAGAUUUCAGUACGCAAUCCACCAAGAUAACGGGCUAUAGUCUGCUCUUCGGGUUCUUCAAUCUCACACUGCAACAUUAGAUAUUCAAAUUCAGAUGUAUAAUCGUCAACAGAUAACUCUUUCUGCUUAAAAUUAUGAAAAGAAUCCUAUCUGUAGUUAUCUGAAAGAAACUUCUUCUUGAGGGCCUUUCGCAUCUUCUCCCAUGUAAAAAUACGGCUCUUCCCUUCAUGUGCCCGCUGUUUCUUAUGAUGUUCCCACCAGAUCGACGUGUGUUUCUUCAACUUUAUGGCUACAAUCUUCACCUUGCAGUCUUCUGGCACAUCCUUGUACUCAAAGAUCCUCUCCACUGUAUACAACCAAUCAAUAAAUUCAUCUGGUUGCGUCCUGCCUUCAAAUUCUGGAAUAUCAACUUUGAUGUCGAAAUCUCGCUCAAACUUACGAUUCCUUUAAGAACGAUUGGACCCCGUGCUAUGAUUUCGAUGGAAAGGAUUACCCUCUUCUUCAUCAUCAUAUGAAUCUUCUUCCUCAGAUUCAUGAUGUGGUGCCUCUCAUCUCCUGGUUUAAAGAUAUGCCGAUUGCUGUUGAACCUGUUGCACUUCCCUGUGCAAUGCUUCAUUCUUAAUAUUACGAUGAUCCCACUCACAAUUUGGUCUUUCAACAUCAGGCCCACAUCGACCACGGCCUCGAUUAGCCAUAAGAACCUGGCACUCUGAUACCAAAAACUGAUGCUGAAAAUUCACAGAAAACCAAUUAAUGCAGAAAAAGGGAGCCGAUGGUUACCAAGUGUUAGUGAUCACCACUUUCAGGCGAUUUCUUAAAGAUACAGAGUUGGACUUGGCUCACCACUUUAAGGAAAAACGUUUGGAGAUGCAGAACGCACAAAGAUGAAAUUCCUUCUUCAAAAAAAGGUCCAAUACAUUCAAAGAAAACUCUCAGAAAAACGUAUUCUGACUUUUUUUGGCAACAAAAUUAAAUGUAAUAAUCUCAAAAUCUAGAAUGUAAUAUUUUAAAACUUAGAAAGGAAAUUAAUACUAAACUUAAAAGAUAAGAAAAUCCAAAAAAAAUUCCAGAAUUGAUUGUUUAAAAUUCUCCUUUAUUCCGCCCAAAAUUUCCAUAAUUGUUCCUGUGCUAGACCUUUCCAAAAUUGUUCCAGUACCCGUGUCACAUGUGCUAUGUUGUGCUUGACUAUGCAUAUCUAUGGUGGAUCAGUACUGCAAUUUGGAUACUGGGGAAAAAGGCCAUGGAUCCAGAGCCAGGCAGAUACCUAGGGACUGACGGCAAGAAAUGAUGGUGCUCGUGGGAUGUAGUUGCCGAGCAGAAGUACUCUGAGUGCCAUGUGGCCGCAAUCGUUCAAGAAAGCCUGUGGAAAUCCCCACAUCCACCAAUACUCAUUAUUUAGUUUGAUAUUGUACCAUUAUUUUGUAUUUUAUGUUUAUUUGUUUGUUUAAUAGGCAAUAUGCAAAUCAAGAAUUUUUUUCAAUCUAUUGCAACGAUGUGUUCUAUAUUUAUUUUGUAUGAAAUAAUGA
rnacentral:lncRNA from 1 species